UACAUGUUCAUUUUUAGUAGUUAGAUCAUUUUAUACUUGUUCAAUUUUUAGUAGUUAGGUCAUUUUAUACUUGUUCAUGUUUAGCAGUUAGAAACCCAGAGUAAAGAGUGUCUCAUUUUGCUAAAACAUCUGCCUCAACAUCUGUGCAGUGAAUCCUGUAGGACUGGUUUUUAUUUCUGGUCCUCCAGAAUCGCAAUGUGGCAGCUUUCGUACAGCGUAGUUCAGUUUUUCUGUCCGUCUUCCUUUAACUUCAGAUCGUCUUCUCUCCAGGGACUCAUCCCAGAUGUUUCUCCCAGUUCUCCCAGUUCCCAUCUCCUCUCCCUGCAUAAACAUUAUGGCGUAAACGUUUCCACCUGAGACUCUUUCCAGGUUCCAAGGUGAAGCCAAGGAGUGGCGCAUGCUGUGACUUUCUGCGGCUGCAGCUUAUCCUCUUCACCGUUUUAUUUGUUGGCCGUUCUGAGUUAGCACUUUACAUGAUCGCACCUGAUUGCAACAACCCAGAGAUGGCUGUCCAUGAGAACUCCUGCAGAUCAGCAGUUUCUGAAGCACACAGACCAGCAUGACUGGCACCAACACAACAACGCAUUUGACGUCACUUAAAUUCCCAUCUCUUCCCGAUUCUGACGCUAGAGGUGAAAUCACUGUCAUCAUCUUAAUGCCUAAAUGUACAAGGAUGCUGCUAUUUAAUUACUGGAUUUGCAUAUGUCAUUGAACUGGUCUACCUAAUAAAGUGGCCAGUUAAUGUGUGCAUCUAUUUCAACGGCACAAACCUGCAC